rnacentral:misc_RNA from 1 species
CAAAAUUCAAAUUUAAACCUCUGUGUUUUCAAUUGGAAUCCAAAUCAAAAUCCUCUCUUUGAAGUCCAAAUCAAAACCCAUUAAUUCUGAUGAAGAUAUGUGGCUCCAUCUAGCCAAAUAGGAAAACACCCCUGAUUCGAGUCCAGAGUGCAAAAGAAUCAAGUGUCGUUGUCCCAAUCAAGUGUUGGAUGAUGUUGAAGUUUCUUUCACGACCAGUCGUUGGAGUAGGUUCUUCAGUGAAUGAUCUGCGCAACGGCGAUAAGGAGAAGAAGAUGAGGAG